CUUUGCUCAGAGCAAACCUAUAGGAACCGGGGGGCGCAGAGCUACGAAGCUAAUUGAGAACAGUAACCAUCACAACGGUCUUGCUGUUUUAUAUGCUGGUCGAGCCGCCAAA
rnacentral:ncRNA from 1 species